AGGAGAGAAGAGAGACCCCUGAGAAGAGGUAAGGGGCAGGGUCUGCCCAUGGUCCUGCAGAGAGGGUGCAAUCUCACUCUUCUUCCUCACUCCCAGUCUUCACCAGUGAAGGUGGAGGACAGGAGACACCAUGGCUGUGUGGUCCAUUCAGGUCAACCCCCAGAGCCCAGAGCAGUAUGGCAAAGAGAAAUGUAGACCUGCAAGGCAAAAAGAUGUUCAGAAUUACAACCAGGCAGAGUCAACUAUAAAACCCUCAGCUGGGCUGGGCAUGGUGGCUCAUGCUUGUAAUCCCCAGCAGUUUGAGAGGAUCACAUGUACCCCAGGAAGGUUGAAGCUACAGUGGGUGGUGAUCACACCUCUGCAUUCCAG
rnacentral:lncRNA from 10 species